rnacentral:rRNA from 1 species
GUUAAAAAGCUCGUAGUUGGAUUUCUGUCGAGGGCGGCCGGUCCGCACUAUGUGCGUGUAUCUGGUUCGGUCUUGGCAUCCUCUUGGGGAACGUUUCUGUGCUUGAGCGCAUGGAGGCGGAAUUCAAGACUUUUACUUUGAGGAAAUUAGAGUGUUCACGGCAAGCUAUCGCUUUGAAUACAUUAGCAUGGAAUAAUAAUAUAGGGCGUAAGUUCUAUUUUGUUGGUUUCUAGGACGUACGCAAUGAUUAAUAGGGAUAAUUGGGGGCAUUCGUAUUAACGCGUCAGAGGUGGAAUUCUUAGAUUGCGUUACGACGAACUACUGCGAAAGCAUUUGCCCAGGAUGUUUUCAUUGAUCAAGAACGAAAGUAUGGGGAUCGAAGACGAUUAGAUACCGUCGUAGUCUAUACCAUAAACUAUGCCAACUAGGGAUUGGAGGUCGUUCUUUUAUGACUCUUUCAGCAUCUUAUGAGAGAUCAAAGUCUUUGGGUUCCGGGGGGAGUAUGGUCGCAAGGCUGAAACUUAAAGGAAUUGACGGAAGGGCACCACCAGGAGUGGAGCCUGCGGCUUAAUUUGACUCAACACGGGAAAACUUACCAGGUCCAGACAUAGUAAGGAUUGACAGAUUGAUAGCUCU